AACGAACGCUGGCGGCAUGCCUAACACAUGCAAGUCGAACGAGACCUUCGGGCCUUGUGGCGCUCGGGUGCGUAACGCGUGGGAACCUGCCCUUAGGUUCGCAAUCCUUCCCCGAAGGGGGUGCUAAUGCCGGAUAAUGUCUUCGCACCAAAGAUUUAUCGCCUUUGGAUGGGCCCGCGUUGGAUUAGCUAGUUGGUAGGGUAAAAGCCGACCAAGGCGACGUUCCAUAGCUGGUCUGAGAGGAUGAUCAGCCACACUGGAACUGAGACACGGCCCAGACUCCUACGGAAGGGAGCAGUGGAGAAUAUUGGACGAUGGGGGCAGGCGUGAUCCAGCAAUGCCGGGGAAGUGAUGAAGGCCGUAGGGAUGUAAUGCUCUUUUACCCGGGAUGAUAAUGACGGUACCGGGUGAAUAAGCACCGGCUAACUACGUG
rnacentral:rRNA from 1 species